GAUGAACGCUGGCGGCGUGCCUAAUACAUGCAAGUCGAGCGAACGGACGAGAAGCUUGCUUCUUUGAUGUUAGCGGAGGACGGGUGAGUAACACGUGGAUCACCUACCUAUAAGACUGGGAUAAUUUCGGGAAACCGUAGCUAAUACCGGAUAAUCUUUUGAACCGCAUGGUUCAAAAGUGAAAGACGGUCUUGCUGUCUCUUAUAGCUGGAUCCGCGCUGCAUUAGCUAGUUGGUAAGGUAACGGCUUACCACGGCAACGAUGCAUAGCCGACCUGAGAGGGGGAUCGGCCACACGGGAACUGAGACACGGACCUGACGCCUGCGAGAGGCAGCAGAAGGGAAUCUUCGGCAGUGGGCGAAAGCCUUGCGGAGCAACGCCGCGUGAGUGAUGAAGGUGUUCGGAGCGUAAAACUCUGUUACUAGGGAAGAACAGAUGUGUAAGUAACUGUGCACAGCGUGACGGUACCGAAUCAGAAAGCCACGGCUAACUACGUG
rnacentral:rRNA from 1 species